UUGAAGUCUAGUUGGUAAGGACACUUGGCUCUUGCCCGAGCGACCCGGGUUCAAGUCCCGGCAA
rfam:Amborella trichopoda AMTR_V1.0_contig_37211, whole genome shotgun sequence.